AGUGAACGCUGGCGGUAGGCCUAACACAUGCAAGUCGAACGGCAGCACAGUAAGAGCUUGCUCUUACGGGUGGCGAGUGGCGGACGGGUGAGGAAUACAUCGGAAUCUAUUUUUUCGUGGGGGAUAACGUAGGGAAACUUACGCUAAUACCGCAUACGACCUACGGGUGAAAGCAGGGGAUCUUCGGACCUUGCGCGAUUGAAUGAGCCGAUGUCGGAUUAGCUAGUUGGCGGGGUAAAGGCCCACCAAGGCGACGAUCCGUAGCUGGUCUGAGAGGAUGAUAGGCCAAACAGGAGGUGAGACACGAUCCAAACGCCUAAGGGAGGCAGCAGGGGGAAAAAUUGGGAAAUGGGGGCAAGCCUGUUCCAGCCAUACGGGGUGGGUAAAAAAGGCCUUCGGGUUGGAAAGCCCUUUUGUUGGGAAAAAAAAACAGCAGGUUAAAACCCCGCUGUUCUGACGGUACCCAAAAAAAAGGCACCGGCUAACUUCGG
rnacentral:rRNA from 1 species